CUAAGCCGAGGCCGAAAGGCGUAGGUGAUGGACAACAGGUUGAUAUUCCUGUACCACCAAUAACCGUUUGAGAAAUGGGAUGACACAGUAGGAUAAGCUAACCGCACUGUUGGUUAUGUGCGGGCAAGUAUUGAGGCAGUUCCGAUAGGCAAAUCCGUCGGAAUAAUGCUGGGGUACGAUGCGGAGCGAAAUUAAGUAGCGAAGUAGCUGAUUUCACACUGUCGAGAAAAGUCUCUAUCGAGGUUAAAGGUGCCUGUACCGCAAACCGACACAGGUGGGUGAGGAGAGUAUCCUAAGGCCAGCGAGAGAACUGUUGUUAAGGAACUCGGCAAAAUGACCCCGUAACUUAGGGAUAAGGGGUGCCACCAUCAGGUGGCCGCAGAGAAUAGGCCCAAGCGACUGUUUACCAAAAACAUAGGUUUCUGCUAAGUCGCAAGACGAUGUAUAGGAGCUGACGCCUGCCCGGUGCUGGAAGGUUAAGGGGAUCUGUUAGAGCAAUCGAAGCAGUGAACUUAAGCCCCAGUAAACGGCGGCCGUAACUAUAACGGUCCUAAGGUAGCGAAAUUCCUUGUCGGGUAAGUUCCGACCCGCACGAAAGGCGUAACGAUUUGGGCACUGUCUCAACAACAGACUCGGUGAAAUUGUAAUUCCGGUGAAGAUGCCGGAUACCUGCGACAGGACGGAAAGACCCCAUGGAGCUUUACUGUAGCUUGACAUUGGGUCUUGGUACUACAUGUACAGGAUAGGUGGGAGGCUUUGAAACCAGGACGCCAGUUUUGGCGGAGCCAUCCUUGGGAUACCACCCUUGUAGUACUGGGACUCUAACCAUAGGCCAUGAAUCUGGUCUUGGGACACUGUCAGGUGGGCAGUUUGACUGGGGCGGUCGCCUCCCAAAAGGUAACGGAGGCGCUCAAAGGUUCUCUCAGUACGGUCGGAAAUCGUACGUAGAGUGUAAAGGCAAAAGAGAGCUUGAUUGCAAGACAUACAGGUCGAGCAAGGACGAAAGUCGGACUUAGUGAUCCGGUGGUUCCGCAUGGAAGGGCCAUCGCUCAACGGAUAAAAGCUACCCUGGGGAUAACAGGCUUAUCUCCCCCAAGAGUCCACAUCGACGGGGAGGUUUGGCACCUCGAUGUCGGCUCAUCACAUCCUGGGGCUGUAGUAGGUCCCAAGGGUUGGGCUGUUCGCCCAUUAAAGUGGUACGCGAGCUGGGUUCAGAACGUCGUGAGACAGUUCGGUCCCUAUCCGUCGCAGGCGUAGGAAAUUUGAGAAGACCUGUCCUUAGUACGAGAGGACCGGGAUGGACGUACCUCUGGUGUACCAGUUGUUCUGCCAAGGGCAUGGCUGGGUAGCUAUGUACGGAAUGGAUAAGCGCUGAAAGCAUCUAAGCGCGAAGCCAACUUCAAGAUAAGAUUUCCCACCGCAAGGGUAAGACCCCAGAAAGACUAUCUGGUUGAUAGGUCGAAGGUGUAAGUGCAGCAAUGUAUUUAGCUUAUCGAUACUAAUAGGUCGAGGACUUGACCAA
rnacentral:rRNA from 1 species